AUGACGAACGAUGUCAAUCUCAUGUACCAGAAGUACGUUGCCGAGUUGGACACGAUUACGCCUGAGCAGGUGGAAUGGCAGCCAUAUGGCGCGGAUGACAGACUUGGGUACACCCCGGAGUUUAGCAUCAACCCGAUGUGCUUGCGGGAUAGGGAUCUCUGGCUUAUGCGGUGCCCACUGAUAUGCAACUGGGCUGUUGAGUUUCAUUUGCCACAUCGCGUGUUUCGUCAGUUUGGUCUGUUCCAGCCUCACCCGCCGGAAUGGGUGGAUACGGACAAAGCACUUCAUAGGUUGGACAGGAGAAGGCAGCGGAAGAUAAAGGACUGGGACAAGCAUCAUGCUUCGUAUGUUACCCACUUCCAGCUUUGCGUGGAGCAAGCUCGUAGCAGUGUACGCGCCCAGCUUCGUGAGCAUAACCCACUUGCUUUUGAUAACUACAUACGAUGGCUUCUUGAAAAUACUCGAGUUGAGAUAUGCCCGCCGGCAUAUAAUGAG
rnacentral:rRNA from 1 species